AUUGAACGCUGGCGGCAGGCCUAACACAUGCAAGUCGAGCGGAUGAAGGGAGCUUGCUCCUGGAUUCAGCGGCGGACGGGUGAGUAAUGCCUAGGAAUCUGCCUGGUAGUGGGGGAUAACAUCCGGAAACGGGCGCUAAUACCGCAUACGUCCUGAGGGAGAAAGUGGGGGAUCUUCGGACCUCACGCUAUCAGAUGAGCCUAGGUCGGAUUAGCUAGUUGGUGGGGUAAAGGCCUACCAAGGCGACGAUCCGUAACUGGUCUGAGAGGAUGAUCAGUCACACUGGAACUGAGACACGGUCCAGACUCCUACGGGAGGCAGCAGUGGGGAAUAUUGGACAACGGGCGAAAGCCUGAUCCAGCCAUGCCGCGUGUGUGAAGAAGGUCUUCGGAUUGUAAAGCACUUUAAGUUGGGAGGAAGGGCAGUAAGUUAAUACCUUGCUGUUUUGACGUUACCAACAGAAUAAGCACCGGCUAACUUCGUG
rnacentral:rRNA from 1 species